rnacentral:rRNA from 1 species
GUCGUACGCUGGCGGCGUGCCUUUACAUGCAUGUCGAGCGGACAGAUGGGAGCUUGCUCCCUGAUGUUAGCGGCGGACGGGUGAGUAACACGUGGGUAACCUGCCUGUAAGACUGGGAUAACUCCGGGAAACCGGGGCUAAUACCGGAUGCUUGAUUGAACCGCAUGGUUCAAUUAUAAAAGGUGGCUUUUAGCUACCACUUACAGAUGGACCCGCGGCGCAUUAGCUAGUUGGUGAGGUAACGGCUCACCAAGGCGACGAUGCGUAGCCGACCUGAGAGGGUGAUCGGCCACACUGGGACUGAGACACGGCCCAGACUCCUACGGGAGGCAGCAGUAGGGAAUCUUCCGCAAUGGACGAAAGUCUGACGGAGCAACGCCGCGUGAGUGAUGAAGGUUUUCGGAUCGUAAAACUCUGUUGUUAGGGAAGAACAAGUACCGUUCGAAUAGGGCGGUACCUUGACGGUACCUAACCAGAAAGCCACGGCUAACUACGUGCCAGCAGCCGCGGUAAUACGUAGGUGGCAAGCGUUGUCCGGAAUUAUUGGGCGUAAAGCGCGCGCAGGCGGUUUCUUAAGUCUGAUGUGAAAGCCCCCGGCUCACCGGGGAGGGUCAUUGGAAACUGGGGAACUUGAGUGCAAAAAGGAGAGUGCAUUCCACGUGUAGCGGUGAAAUGCUAAAGUGGGAAGAACCCCCUUGCCGAGGCA